rnacentral:rRNA from 1 species
CCUACGGGUGGCAGCAGUAGGGAAUCUUCCACAAUGGGCGAAAGCCUGAUGGAGCAACGCCGCGUGGGUGAAGAAGGUCUUCGGAUCGUAAAACCCUGUUGUUAGAGAAGAAAGUGCGUAAGAGUAACUGUUCACGUUUCGACGGUAUCUAACCAGAAAGCCACGGCUAACUACGUGCCAGCAGCCGCGGUAAUACGUAGGUGGCAAGCGUUAUCCGGAUUUAUUGGGCGUAAAGGGAACGCAGGCGGUCUUUUAAGUCGGAUGUGAAAGCCUUCGGCUUAACCGGAGUAGUGCAUUGGAGACUGGGAGACUUGAGUGCAGAAGAGGGGAGUGGAACUCCAGGUGUAGCGGUGAAAUGCGUAGAUAUAGGGAAGAACACUAGUGGCGAAGGCGGCUCUCUGGACUGUAACUGACGCUGAGGUUCGAAGGCGUGGGUAGCAAACAGGAUUAGAUACCCCGGUAGUC